CCAGAGGCGAACUAGGGUUCCGGUCCACCUUGCGUGGAUGGCUGGUCCGAGAGUUUUCCGGCCCUAAGGACAGGGUUACACGGCGGGAGAAAAGCCCGGGAGAC
rnacentral:sRNA from 2 species